GAUCCAAGGGUGAAGACACCCAUGAGAGGACAAAAAAGCCUUGCUGCUGUAAUGGAAAUGUGGUGCUGGGGAGAGUAGGAGGCUGCUUCCAGGAGAUGACUGGGCUGACAUUGGUUUCCACUGCUGCUGCCCAUGGAAAUGUGUGUUCCCACAGAGUCUCGGCAUGUAUGUGAGGAGGAGGAGGAGAAGACAGCUCUCUGAGAGGGGGAAAGGCAGGGGGAGCAUUGGGAAUGUGAAUAUCAUGAAGACAAAUCUGUUCAUAAUUACAGCCUGGCAGUGCUGCUGGCAGUCACUGUUUUUGGGGCUGGACCCUCACCCUAAACAGACAUCUCAGCUCCCCUAGACUCAUCUUGGAUGAAAACUGGGCAGGGUCGACUAGAACAGCAACUUGGGGGUAGCUUCCAGUCUCCUGAAUCAGCAUUUUGAAAGCCAGACAUGCUGAGUUACUCCCCUUUCCUCCCCCCAGGCCUGUGUGUACAUAGACAGCCAUAAAACACACAUAUAGCUCUGUGUUAGUACACACUCCUGCCUCUGGGAAAUGUCAGCCAAGAUAUUAUUCAAAGAUUGCUCAGCCUGCUUGAAAUGCUGCUAGGCUUCAGAAAUUACACCCCACUCCAGGAAUGGGCAAGAACUGACACAAGGCAGCAACAACCAGAAAUUUCCCAGCUGUUGUGUCUGGCCUUUUGAAAACAGGAAUUUCUUGGUACAGAGCCUGAAACCUUACUCUUUCCAUUCGGCAUUGCUGGAGGGAGGGCACCAGCACUAAAAGGAUGCACGAGAAAGGAUUUGUUUUCAGCAAGGUGCUUGUAACAACAUUUUUUUUUUGUAAGACCUGAGUAUGGACAGGCACUAGGAGGAUGGAAGUAGCCCUGGCUUGGUCUCUUUUUCUUCCCAAGCCUGUCUGCAUGGAGAUCCACUUGCAAGGAACACAUUAAGCUCCAGAGCCCAAUGGUCCUACAACACCAGGGAACACAGCUCAUAGCUCUUGGUGUGUUAAUCAAGUUGGCUGCAGUCAGGGCUAAAGAACAGGAUGCAGAACAGGAUGAUCCCAGGAGAGUCCCACAGGAUAACAAGGUUUUUACUGGAGACAGAAGCAUGGCAGAUCUGCAAGAUCUUCCUCCAUUUCUCCAAAACCUUGGGUGCACCAAGCCCGUGUGUGGGACUGUGUGA
rnacentral:lncRNA from 1 species